rnacentral:rRNA from 1 species
AUGGCCAUGGUGCCCAACGGGCUCCUGCCCAAUGCGUCGGCGGGGGUGACGCGGCGCCUCGACCCCGACCGCUGGGCCGUCGCCGAGUCCCGGACCGCCGAGCUGAUCGCGCGCAUCCAGCCCAACGCCUACUCCGAGGGCCGGAGGCAUGCUGUCUACAACUACGUGCAGCGCCUCAUCAUGAACUGCCUCUCCUGCCAGGUUUUUACUUUUGGAUCAGUCCCUCUGAAGACUUACUUACCGGAUGGUGACAUUGAUGUCACCGCUUUCAGUAAUAGCGAAGAAUUAAAGGAUACCUGGGCAAAUCUAGUUAGGGAUGCUUUGGAGCGUGAAGAGAAAAGUGAAAAUGCUGAAUUUUGUGUAAAAGAAGUUCAGUAUAUUCAGGCGGAGGUAAAGCUUAUCAAGUGUCUUGUGGACAACAUUGUUGUUGAUAUCUCAUUUAACCAAGUUGGUGGAUUGUGUACACUUUGUUUCCUUGAACAGGUUGAUAACUUGAUCAAUCAAAACCAUUUAUUCAAGCGGAGUAUCAUAUUGGUAAAGGCAUGGUGUUUCUACGAGAGUCGUAUUCUUGGAGCUCACCAUGGUCUUAUAUCUACUUAUGCAUUGGAGACCCUUGUUCUGUACAUAUUUCAUGUGUUCAACAACUGUUUUACUGGACCACUUGAGGUGUUAUACCGUUUCUUAGAAUUCUUUAGCAACUUUGAUUGGGAGAAAUUUUGUUUGAGUUUGUGGGGGCCAGUUCCUAUAAGUUCACUUCCAGAUAUGACUGCGGAACCCCCGCGGAUGGACACUGGUGAAUUGUUGCUGACCAAGGCCUUCCUGGAUAGAUGCAAUCAUCUGUAUGGAGUUAUGCCUCGCACCCAGGAGAACCAGGGUCAACCAUUUGUUUCAAAGCACUUCAAUGUUAUUGAUCCCUUACGAGCAAAUAACAACCUUGGAAGAAGUGUCAGUAAAGGCAAUUACUUUAGAAUACGCAGUGCCUUCUCUUUUGGGGCAAAAAGGCUGGCAAAGUUACUCGAAUGCCCAAAUGAAGAUCUGAUUGCUGAAGUAAAUCAGUUCUUUACAAAUACAUUGACAAGACAUGGGAGUGGGAAUCGUCCCGACGCGCCUACACCAAAUCUGUUUCCUAAACAUGCUCUGAAGGUUGUCCCUGCUGAAGCAUCAAACAGCCACGAGAAUGCAACAAUGCCCAAGAAGAAGAUGGAAAAACCUAAACUUCGAGCUAAUCAGGGCAGUCUCACUGAAGGUUCUCACAGCUAUGCUGAACCUAUUUCUCAACAACCUCAGAGAAGUGAUCUACGCUCUCGGAAUUCACCAAAGGCAAUUCAUCCUGCUGUUUCUCAUGCACAGCACCAAAAAGUUAACGUGACACAACCCAACACCAAGGUCUCUGAACCGCUUGAAAGGAACAGGUCUGGUGGAUCGAUGCCAAGUGAAAGGGAUGGGAGAAUGCCAAAUGCCCUCUUUGUUAAUGGCCGAAAUGGGCAGAACAUGUCUCCGUUUGCAAGAACCCAGUCUAGUCCUGAACUGACAGACCCUUCUAUUGAAGGAUAUUCUCGUGGAAGGCGAACUAGAGUGGUAGAAAUGGAGAAGCCUGUGAACAAUGAUUACAAUAGUAGAAGGAAUAACUUAGUUCCAGAAGUGCCUAGCAACCACAGCACUAAGUCUUCACAGGAUGAGUCAAUGUCUUCCAUGAACAGUUCAUCUCACCCUAGUGCAAAAGCAGCUUCUGAAUCAAAUAGUGUUUCCAGCAGCUAUCAUGAAGACAAUGGUUUCGUGAUUAACGAAGAACUUCCUUCUGUAUCUGAGGCACCGGAGAUGCAGCAUGAGGAACAUGCUCUAGUUAAUCUAAUGGCAUCCGCAAAGUUGCAUGGUUUCAAUGGACAAGCUCAAUUGCCAAUGCAAUUACCUUCUCAUAUGUCUGUAGCAUCUUUGCCCUUACUGCCUCCAACAGCUUUUCCUCAAAAACCUUUUGCCGGGAUUCCACCAACUAGCUUAAUUGGGAGCCAGUGGUUGCACAACAUGCAGUUUCUCCAAGGAUUUGUUCCACCACCUAUGGCCCAUUAUACUUACAACCCUUCGUUUACAACAAACACAGAGGAUGGUAAUGAGAGUGAAAAAAGUACUACAUCAGAUUCGAAUCUUGAUCCUGGCAACACUCAGUAUGAGUAUGGUUUUCGGUUGUCUAGAAAUUUCAACCAUGAAGGAAGGGAUUCACAUGUGCAUCAUUUUGAUGACAACAACCGUUCCUCUUCACCUAAUGGUGUAUCUGGCUCCCCCUUGGACAGGCAGAUGCAAUAUACUGUUGAGGAUAGCAGAGUAGUAGAGGAAAACUAUACUAACAUGUUUCAAAAUCAAACAAGUAGAGAAGUCAGGAGAAAUGCCCCCAUGAGUAGUGGAAAUUUGAGAACUACACAACCCAGUUCUUCCAAAAGCAAACCUCUUUCAGAGAGUUCGUGGGAUGAAAGAGCUGCAAAAACAUCACGAGCUUCGAGGGACAAAUGGGAAAAAAAGCCUGCCUUUCCAGCCCCUGCCACAACCACACUCAGCAUAAGUAAGACUGGUUGGCAGACAGGAAAUAGCAGUGACCAUAUGCCGACAGAAGCUGAUGAAGGCGCCAGGAAUGGUGUUGUAGUGCCAGUUAUUAGACAUGAAGCUUCGGACAUAGUAACAGGGUCUGUCUCGUCAGAUCCAUCAAGAACCAGUCAAGUACGGAAUGAUUUUAAUGCGUCAUGGAUGCCUAAUCCCAUGUUUGCACCUUUUCUUAUUGGUUCCUCUCAGCAGAGGCAAGCUGAUAACUCUGGACUGACUUUUGUCCCAACAGGUCCGCCAGUUCCUUUUGUUGUGCUCCCAUUUGUUCCUGGCAAUAGUGAUGGAUCUGUUCCACAGUUCGAGGGAAAUGACGGAAUUGAUCAGUUUCCUGUCAAUGUUGCUGUUCAAAAUUUUAGUUCACUCAAUGAUGUUCACCAACCUGAUAACAGUGCUACCUCAACGACAUCAUCCAGUACUGUAGGUAAUCCAUCUUACGAUCACAAGCCUGACAUUUUGAACAGUGACAUUGCCAGCCAUUGGCAGAAUUUACAAUAUGGACGAUUCUGCCAAGAUGCACGCCCCAUGGGUCCUGUAUUAUACCCUUUUGCAGUGCCUCCAGGGUACAUGCAGGGGCAUGUUCCAUGGGAUGGGCCUGGAAGACCACCUUCACCGAAUGUCAACUGGACACAGAUGGUGGGUCCUGGCCAAAGAGCCUUUCCUAUGAUGCCUCUACAGCCUGCUUCAGAAAGAGUUACUGCUGUUCCUCCGCACUAUGGAGAGCAUGCACCCAGAUACCGUGGUGGAACAGGAACCUACUUGCCAAAUCCUAAGGUUCCAUUCAGGGACCGAGAGCGUCCCUCGAGUUCAAGAUACUUAAGAGGAGGUUAUAAUAGUGACAAGGGUGACAAUAGUGAUAAAGAAGGAAGUUGGGCAAACUCAAGACAACGAAAUACAGGCCGCAACUAUGGACGUAGCCAGUCAGAGAGGUAUGGCAUGAGGUCUGAUAGGCAGACAACAGAUGAAGGUCAGUUUGACAGGCAGCGCAGAUCCUAUAGAAAUGACUCACACAGGCAUGAGGCAGGUGCUCAAUACCUUGGACAGGGUCAAUCUCAUGGAUCCACAAACUCUGCUCGCAGACCAGGGAAUAUCACCCAUGGGGUUUACUCAUCACCAUAUGCAGUGCCAAAUGGUGUUGGUGCUUCAGAUUCACCAUAUUUUAUGGUUUACCCAUACGAACCAGCUGCAAAUCACGGUUCUUCCUCUGAACCGCUUGAAUUUGGUUCACUGGGGCCAAUCUCUAUGGCAGAUGAUGGUGAUCUACCACAGCCCACUCGCCAAGUAAUGGCCAAUGGCUUUUAUGGGCAAAGACAUACUGCAUUUAGGGUUAGUUCCUCUCAUUCAUCUCCUGAUCAACCAUCCUCACCUCAACCUCGCAGCUGGAAGGAUGCGAUAGCUUGGCUCUGA